GGCCGGGUAGUCUAGUGGUUAGGACGUUAGCCGCGUAAGCUGAAGGCGCGGGUUCGAUUCCCGCCUCGGCCA